rnacentral:rRNA from 1 species
GAUGAACGCUGGCGGCGUGCUUAAUACAUGCAAGUCGAGCGGACAGACGAGGAGCUUGCUGCUUGGUCGUUAGCGGAGGACGGGAGUAUAACACGAGGAUAACCUACCUAUCAUACGGGGAAAAUUACGGAAAACCGGAGCUAAUAGCGUAUGAUAUAUUGAACCGCAGGGGUCAAUAGUGAAAGACGGUUUUGCUGUCACUUAUAGAUGGAUCUGCGCCGCAUUAGCUAGUUGUUACGGUAACGGCUUACCAAGGCAACGAGGCGUAGCCGAGGUGAGAGACGGAUAGGCCACCCGAGAGCGGAGACGCGGUCCAGACGCCUGCGGGAGGGCGCAGUAGGGAACCUUCCGCAGAGGGCGAAAGCCUGGCGGAGCAGCGGCGCGUGAGUGAUGAAGGUCUUCGGAUCGUGAAACUCGGUUAUGGGGGAAGAACAAAUGUGUAAGUAAACAUGCACUUCUUGACGGUACCUGAUCAGAAAGCAACGGCUAACUACGUG